GACGGAGGAGGCUAGCGUUGCUCGGAAUCACUGGGCGUAAAGCGCGCGUAGGCGGCGCAUCAAGUUGGGGGUGAAAGCCCGGAGCUCAACUCCGGAAUUGCCUCCAAGACUGGUGCGCUAGAGUCCGGUAGAGGGUGGUGGAAUUCCCAGUGUAGAGGUGAAAUUCGUAGAUAUUGGGAAGAACACCAGUGGCGAAGGCGACCACCUGGUCCGGUACUGACGCUGUGGCGCGAAAGCGUGGGGAGCAAACAGG
rnacentral:rRNA from 1 species